AUUUUAUAAAGCGAGGAAUUCCGAGCAGUCCAAACAAAAUGAAUACAGAAAUGGACAAGUUGUUAAAGUUCAUGACUUUGAUUGGCGAUCUUAAGCGGGUGAAGAGGACAGGCUGGGUGCUGCGACAAGUGAAGGAGCCCGAGUCCGUAGCGGACCAUAUGUAUAGGAUGGCCAUCUUGUCUUUCCUGGUAGACCCCACCAGCUCAGGUCUCAAUAAAGACAGGAAACUUAAUCAGAGAUGAUUGACCAAUGCAGAGUCUGCUUAAAUAAUAUCCUGUGUACAUGUAUGUAUCUGCAGAUGUAUCAAAAUAAGUCUGGUGCAUGACCUAGCAGAGUGUAUCGUAGGAGACCUGACUCCCCAGGACAAUAUUCCAAAGGCAGAGAAACAAAAACAGGAAAUGGAUGCCAUGAAGCAGAUAUGCAGUUUGGUACCUGAAGAAGUUGGUCGAGAACUGUACGAGUUAUGGGAGGAUUAUGAAUUUCAAAGGAGUGAAGAGGCCAAGUUUGUGAAGGAUUUGGACAAGUUUGAGAUGAUACUUCAAGCUCACGAGUACGAGACACUGAGCGAUUGUCCAGGUCAUCUACAAGAGUUCUUUGACAGCACAGCAGGAAAAUUUAAAACAGAACUAGUGAAAGAAUGGGUAAAGAAGUUGACCACUGACAGAACUGGCUCAAGUGCAACGUGACGAAAAUUAUAAAUGCAGAGUAUUUCAUUUUCACCAAAUGUUUAGGCCCUUAGUGAUUAUGAUCAGACAACUUUCAUUGUUACAAAUUGAAGCUUUGUGUCAUUUUUGUAUGAAAAGAAACCUAACCUUGAUGUAUCUGCAGAGCAGUGGAUUAUCAGGGUAUUUUUGUCAUUAUGUUACAUUGACUUAAUCUAAUUGCAAAUAAAGCAUUAUAAUCUG
rnacentral:misc_RNA from 1 species